ACGGAAGGCAGCAGUGGGGAAUAUUGCACAAUGGGGGAAACCUGAUGCAGCGACGCUGCGUGAGUGAUGAAGUAUUUCGGUAUGUAAAGCUCUAUCGAUGGGGAAGAAAAUGACGGUACCCAAGUAAGAAGCCCCGGCUAACUACGUGCCAGCAGCAGCGGUAAUACGUAGGGGGCAAGCGUUAUCCGGAUUUACUGGGUGUAAAGGGAGCGUAGGUGGCAUGGCAAGUCAGAGGUGAAAACCCAGGGCUUAACCUGGGGAUUGCCUUUGAAACUGUUAAGCUAGAGUGCAGGAGGGGUAAGCGGAAUUCCUAGUGUAGCGGUGAAAUGCGUAGAUAUUAGGAAGAACACCGGUGGCGAAGGCGGCUUACUGGACUGUAACUGACACUGAGGCUCGAAAGCGUGGGGAGCAAACAGGAUUAGAUACCCUGGUA
rnacentral:rRNA from 1 species